GGGGCAGAAGCGGCCUAGCUCAUUAAAUUUGUUAGCAUAUUCUAGCACUGUCAUAUCAUCCUUUUGCUUUAAGGCUAGAAACUCAUUUUCUUUUACCAAUCUCAUUGUCCCCGGAAAGUACUAAUCAUAAAAUAUCUCUUUGAAUUCUUCCCAAGUGAGCUGAUCAUCAUUGUUCCCAUAGGCAGCUUUUAUUGCAGUCCACCAAAACUCGGCAUU
rnacentral:lncRNA from 1 species